AGGAGGCAAGAAUCUGGUUGGACAAGGCAAGGCACUCACCCGGCAGGCGAGACUCUGAUUGGAUGAGGCAGGUUGCUUAUUUGGCAAAGCGUGACUUACCCGGCAAGGUGUGUUGCCGCUGGGUCGGAGCGGUGCGAUGAUUAGGUAGGUCAGUUCUGGCGGUCCGCGCUCCUGGGCUGUGGGGACUUGUCGUUUCCGGCCUCCAGCCUGGAGCGGUGCGGUGAUUGGGUAGGUCAGUUCGGGCGGGCUGCGCGCGCGGGCUUUGGGGACGUGUCGUUUCCGGCCUCCAGCGUGAAGCCGACUGUGGGCUCUGGAAAGUAGGCGGUUGUGUGUCCUGGUGCUCGAAGCUUAGCCGGGCGACGCUUCGGGAGAGAGGCAGAACCAGCCUCCCAGAGCUGUGGGCUCGGCUGGGUCGCGACUCCGCCAUUAACCCCUCCGCCAACGUCCCCGCUUGUCGUCCUCCCUCGGGCCCUGGUCAGCCUCCCCGGGGCCUGCAGCCUUUGAUGCAAUUCGGGGUGGUGACCUGGCCUUGGAAAGCACUCGAGGAGCCACUCCGUAGCCUGUGCAACGAGGAUGGACCCUCCUCGCUCGGACCCAUGCUGGCCAUGCUGAAUAGCCCCGCAAAUUCUCACAGCAGUGACAGGGAGUCGCGAGCUGUGAGGGAAGCAUUGUUGAUCCUCUUGAGAACAUCAGCCAGGAUAUUCAUCCGCACCGUGACGACGGCACCAAAGGAUGGUGGAAAGAGAUUUUUAAAAAAUCAAAUCUUCUGUUUCUUUGUAUUCAGAAGAAAACUAUGUAAAGAUUAGAAACAUAAAAUUAAAAGUAUGGAAAUCCA